GAAGGUGAAUGGGCCGCCUUCUAGAGAGAUACAUUAAAGAUGUAUCCGGGAAUUCUUUUUCACCAUUCCAGACCACCAUUUAUGUAGUGGUACGUUGUUGAUAUAUUAGUUCAGAUGAGGCUACAUGUUACCUCGAUGAGGUUUAGAGGCAAGGGGUGAGAGUUAGUCCACUCCUGGACGUGUGUCAGGAUCCUGUGCAGUCUGCAGUCGUCGAACGGUUGACCACCGUAAGCCAGGGAUUCCUCGUAUCAGGAAUCGUGGUCAAAGGCCUACCUGAGCCUAAAUGGACGGGUUUAGUGUUCUUGGAACACAACAACGGUAAUACAGUCACCCCACCGGAAAUCAGGAAAUAACGGUGCAGGUUCACACUGGUAAGUACUGAACUAAGAGAUUGCCUGCGUCCGGGGCGGUAUAGCGGUCGUACCUCAUCAUUCUAAUAGGAUGCAACUACCCGACUUAUUGUAUGGAUUCAUGGUUAGUAUGAUUACUAUAAAAGGUAAAAGUUUUGGUUUAAAAGUAUUUACUUAUCAAAUUACUUAUGUAUUUUAUUAUUAUAGUUAAAACCUGCAUUAUUUCAACUGUUUCGUAUGGUUAAUCGUCAUGCAUGAUUAGAUAGUAUUUUGGAAAUGUGAGUCACUACUGAGCAAGUGAAAAUGCUCACCCUAUCAUUAACCCCUUUCUAGUUAAACCGUUGCUCGAGGUUAGAUCGAUUCGGCAGAUAUGGUUGUGCGGAGGUUACAAUGGGUAUUGGUAUAGGUAUUCGUGCAAUAGGUAUACGUAGUUUCUUUUGUAUAAAAGUGAUCACAGUUUAUAUUAUUAUGUAUUGUACUAUUUUAUGUAUUUUUAAAGCCAAUUAUAUAGAUGAAUAUCAUUCAGAAUCUUGUAUUAUAAUAUUAUUAUCAUGGGUUGGGUUAUUCAAAUGCCUCGAGAUCUGACAUUGAGUCAUAGGGAUUCGUGUUAUGGUUUUGGGGCUUUAGGAUGAAAAAUCUAUAACUAAAAAUAAUUAAUAAAAUUGUAAAGACUAAAUCUUAUUUUUGUCUAUUGUAGUCCUAUGUGUAUUUCUAGUAUUAUAUUAGUUUCGUAUAGAUACCUUUCGAUCUAUGGUGCUGUGAAUUGCACAUUGAUUUUCCCAACUUGAACUAGCUCUUGAUAUUCGGGAGCCAACCCAGCGAAGAUAACAGAUGGAAUACUAGAAUUUGUGGAUUGACUAGAUCUAGAUGAUUUGGGAAAGCUUGGGUUUAGAUUUGAUCUGUUAAUAUGUGCAUCUAUUGGUGAUUAUGAUAAUAUUAUUUGAUGUGCAGUUUUAUUUAGUAGUUAUAUUAAGAUAAGAGAAUCGUCAUUUGAUGUCAUUCUUUGAAGGGUGUUUGAUUUUCAAUGAAAUUUGGAAAAAUUAACUUGAUCUUGAUGAUUAUUGAUAUACAAUUAUGAAAGGAGAUUCAUUUGGGAAGUUAUUUUGAUCAGUUAUAAUAUUUUGAAGUCUCGAGGCUACAAAAAUCUGUUCUGUUGCUCGACAUAUAUUUUUUGAAUUCGUGGAACAUUAGGAGACAGUUCAUAAUUGAAAUUUUAGACAAAAAAGUUAGUAGUUUACCAUUAUUAUAUUAAGUGCUUCUUUAAGGAAGUAGUCUAUGAAAUAAGCUAUUAUGGAAAAAUUUAUUAGAAAUAUUUUGGAGAUUUUGAAUAUUAUUUGAGGAUUAUGCAUUAUAUUGUUUCUGGUGGCUAUAAUAGAAAGAAUUUGUUAUAAGCAAAGUAUAGUGAUUUUGAUAGAGUCCCGUAAGAAUUGGGAACUGAUCUAAAGACCAUUCCAUUAUAGGUAUGUCUAUAAUACAGAGUAACCGAGAUUUGUGAAGACUGGAAUCUAUUAGAGGAACAUUAGGAAAUUUUUAUUGUUAGGAUUUGUACAGGUGUUAUUCUGCGCUAUGGGAAUUCUGUAUUAUCUGUUAUACUGUCUAGUAUGUUAUAUUACUACCUUGAUGUAUAUACUUAUAUAGGUACAUAUGAUUUCACCUGUAGUUAUUGUGCAUAGGGGAUAAAUAUUAUUACUGUAUGUAAAUUUUGUGUGUGUUUUGUAAACCAUAUAGUCUACUACAUAUUAUAGUUAUAUUUACUACCAGGGGUUAGAAUGUGCGAUUAUAUAUCACUACAGGAUGAGUUUGUAGGUAGAGUAUGUAUUAGUAUUUUGAAGACUUAUGGAAGACGUUCAAUCUCUUAAGGUAAUACUAAAGUACUAUGAGAUCAUUUUAUAUAGAAAGUUGACAAUGGUCUAUUCAUUCUUUACUAGACAAAUAGUUUGGGAUUAUCAAUAUUAUAUGAUGGUGGGAUAUGAAUGGUCUCAAUUCUAAAUGAUUACAGUGAUUAAGAAAUGAUUCUGACCUUGUGAUUUAGGUUUUGGAAAAGAAAACUGGAACCUUAGGGCAAUAAUGAUUGGAUUCCAUAUAGUGAAAUAUUUGAUGAUAUACGUUUUAAUUGGCUUAAGGUUUGAAAUGAUAUUUGGUGGUUUAAUAUGUGAACGGCGUAGCUGUUAAGGAUUUUAUGUAAAUCUCUAAGACGUCUGUAGAACACAUUUACUGAAUAAUUUUGAGGAGUAAUGAAUAAUUGUAUUUAAUAGUUUUUUUUGAGAGAAUUAACUAAUUUAUAUUGCAGUCUGUCUUCAGAAGAUUUUCAAUCAUGAAUUUUUUUGAGGAGAUAAAAAAUUAUGAAAAUAUGGGACUUUGGGAAUUUCAUCUUAACUUUACUAGUUAUAUAUAGAACGAACUUUGGAGCUAUAUGAGAGCCUUAGUGAGAUAUGAUAUUUGAUUGUAUAUUAUAGCUAGUUUAUGUAAUGUAUAUAUUUUCAGAUAUUUAAAUAUGAUAUUCUGUUUAUAUAAGUCGAUACACGUUGUUAUAUAGCUAUUUGAUUCUUAGGCGUGUGGCCAAUAUAAUAUGUGGGUAUUAGUCCUGUUAUGUGCUUAUAUAUUUUUGGAUUGUAUAGGUUAGAGAUAUAGCCUUUUAGCAAGCAUAGGUUUUAGUAAGGAGUAAACUAGAUUUUAUGAAGGGUAGGCAAUUGUGGGAUUUUAUGAUAUGAUAACUCUAGCAGUGUAGGUAAGUUAGUACAAAUACUUGUACUGCCAGUUAAGGAAAGCUAACUAUUGUAAUUUGAUUCACUUGUUAAUCUUUUGGGAAAGUCCAUAUCAUUUUCUUCGGAGUAACUAUCAAGCUUUGGAGUUAUAAAAGAGUGAUUUGAACCCUAAUAUGAAUAAUCGAUUAAAUAAGUACAAUUAGUAUUUUAUGAACAUGGUGAUGUGAUGUUAUUGAGGUUGAUCUAAAUCUUAGUAGUCUGUACAAUCUAAACAUAUAGAAAUUUUUGAUGCAUUUUGGGACAUUGAAUGGAUUAGGAUUUUGAAGUGAAUUUUACAAUCUGAUAAUCAAUAUUGAUACACAUAUAUCUUGAAUUAACAGAAAAGUUGGAUUAAUGACCAGUCACUUAUUUAUGUUAAUUGGCAGACUUAUUUAAUGAAGCUUUGAAACGGGUGACUUUGAUAAAAUUUUGUGGUACAGUAAUCUUGUGUGAAUCUUUUGACAUUGUGACAUUUUGGGAACACUGUAAGGAGUAGACCAUAUCAUGUUUUCUUUGUUGUGUAUAUUUUGGGUAUAUAUUUAUCGACACCUUAUGUGGUAUUUAAGUUGAGAAAUUAAUUGGUGACUCAUCUUUUACCAGUAGUAAUUUCUAUUUUGGGCGUCUUAGGUGUAUGCAUGUUCCAAUCCUUUGAGUGUCUGUACUAUGGAUAAGAAGUUAUAUCUAUAGAACCCUUAGUAAUAGUACGAUUUAUGGAGAUAGUAUUGAUUUUUGGGAUUUUAACUGGAAUAUAGAAUCAUUAUGCUUCUUUGGCAUUGUGGAUUUUUGAGAUUAUAUAGGCAUAUGUAUUUUUGCGAGUAAAUUCGUACACUUUUGGGGACUUUCUGGUAUAUUGGUUUAAGUUGUUAAUCUCCUAGAUGUACAGUAAUGGUUUUACGUAUUGGGUUGUUGAAGAUUAUUGCUAUAUAUAAUUUGAGAAACUCUAUAUUGUACACUAUUCUAAUUUCGAGGACGAAAUGUCUUUUAAGGUUUAUAGGAUGUAACGACCCGCACUCAUCUUAGGGGCAUUUUAGUAAUCUCACGUAUAACAUAUGGUAUGAUUAAAAAUUUACUAUAAUUUUAUUUUAUCGAUCAUAGAUAAUAGAGUGCGAUUAGAUAGAAAAUAUAAAAAUAAGAAUAAAUAAGUGAAAACCUAAAGCGCAUUCGAAAUCAUGGGGUAGAAUCCAUCUAAAUAUAAAAAAGUUAUUUAUAAUUAGAUAAUUAAUUACUACCAACUGUUUACUGACACAGACUUACUGUUUUAGGAUCGAGCGAGCGUGUGAACAAGAAAUUUGGGUUCAAAUGGACCCAUGUAAGGCCCAAGAAGAUUUUUUACUAAUGGGUUAACUUAAUUAAAUUGUUGCCAAGGGUAUUAGAUUUUAAUGUGGGGCUGCCUUGCAUGGCUGAAUGGGAAAACAGUUUGACACCUGCUGCUACACAAACCAACUGAAUAUACAUGAGUCAUGACAACUUAACCAUGAGGUGGCACCAUGUUAUUAAUAGGUAGUGUGAACAAGGAAUAAGUUUGAUUGAAAGAUGCUUAUGCAAACAAGGUGGCAGUAACUUAGAUUAGGUAAGGAUAGUUAUUGGUUUUUUGAUAAAAUGGGAAAACACCUACUGCUUCUAAUAGAUAAGGAUGGUUAUGAAAUGGACACCUCGGAUAGUUAUUGGUUUUUUGAUAAAAUGGGAAAACACCUACUGCUUCUAAAAGAUAAGGAUGGUUAUGAAAUGGACACCUCAUACUUCUGUUCAUUUGAGUUGGGUAUUUUGUAUCAAUCUAUGAGUGAGAGAGAACCGUUCUUGAUUGGAAACGUUGGAUCACUUGAAUUCUAUUUAAUAUAUUACAUGUACCCAUGAAUUGAAGGAGGCAUAUCCAGUUACAUAUCAAAGAUUGAAUGAAGAUAUUUCUUGAGUCAGAUUGAAGUCCUUAUAAGAUGGGUUGGUGGUGAUUAUCAAACGAGCAACUAGUGUUUGGGGUCAAGAGUUACUAGCUAAGCAAGAAGAUAAGAAAUUAAGGUUGUUGGUGAAGUUUGGCUACUAAGAAUUGUUGGUGACAAGUACUUUUGUGAUUUUGGCUGCGGGUUACAAGCACACUCAUUGAUGAGUUAUUUCUACCACAUGAACUGAAUUAAUAAUGAAAAUGAAACCAAAUGGAAACACCCACAAAUUAUUUUGGCAAAAGUUGGUGAUGGUGGGAUUAAUGGUUGGAACCCAUAUUUUCUGGAGCUUGUCAUAUAACUACUUUGGGACUUGAGUUUUUAGAAGCUAUUCAAGAGCGAGCAAGAGGUAGGGACUUACAUUUCUUUUAUACUGUUUUCAUGUGUCAUAUUUUAAAUGUUGCAAAUUAAUUGACAUAUUAUUGAUGAUAAAAAUGCAUGCAUGGUUUUAUUCGGUAUAUAUAAAUUACUCUUGGUUUAUCAAUUAUAGUUUUUAUUAAAGUGAUUAGUUACAGAUAUCAUGUUUUAAACUGGAGUUAUGAAAGCAGUAUAUGUAUAUUGAAAUGGUUUUAUAAACGGAUUUCUCGAUAAAUCUUUUUCCAAUGGUGGAAAAGAUUUGGUUUUGUAAUGCAGGGCAAGGAAACCCGAUUGUAAUAUAUAACUGGGAUGUGUGAGGUCCCUAGAUUGAUGGAAAUAUUGAUCUAGUAUGCUGUCACGAUUAUGGCUGUGGCCCGGUUAGGGUAACCAACUGUACGGAUCAUAUUUGAUUGUGGCUGUGGCCCGGUUAGGGUAGCCAUGGAUAUUGUUUAAAUCUGGGGACUCACCACACAUUUAUAUAUAUGGUAUAUAUAGUUAAUAUAUAAUGAGGUCGUUUGGAGAGGGACCUGUGAAUUCCUAUAAUGAAUGAGUUGUUGUCAUAUUCCGGAGACGGCAGUUCAUUCUAGGAUGACAUCUAUGGUGUUCACCUUUAGAAGGUGAAUGGGCCGCCUUCUAGAGAGAUACAUUAAAGAUGUAUCCGGGAAUUCUUUUUCACCAUUCCAGACCACCAUUUAUGUAGUGGUACGUUGUUGAUAUAUUAGUUCAGAUGAGGCUACAUGUUACCUCGAUGAGGUUUAGACGCAAGGGGUGAGAGUUAGUCCACUCCUGGACGUGUGUCAGGAUCUUGUGCAGUCUGCAGUCGUCGAACGGUUGACCACCGUAAGCCAGGGAUUCCUCGUAUCAGGAAUCGUGGUCAAAGGCCUACCUGAGCCUAAAUGGACGGGUUUAGUGUUCUUGGAACACAACAACGGUAAUACAGUCACCCCACCGGAAAUCAGGAAAUAACGGUGCAGGUUCACACUGGUAAGUACUGAACUAAGAGAUUGCAUGCGACCGGGGCGGUAUAGCGGUCGUACCUCAUCAUUCUAAUAGGAUGCAACUACCCGACUUAUUGUAUGGAUUCAUGGUUAGUAUGAUUACUAUAAAAGGUAAAAGUUUUGGUUUAAAAGUAUUUACUUAUCAAAUUACUUAUGUAUUUUAUUAUUAUAGUUAAAACCUGCAUUAUUUCAACUGUUUCGUAUGGUUAAUCGUCAUGCAUGAUUAGAUAGUAUUUUGGAAAUGUGAGUCACUACUGAGCAAGUGAAAAUGCUCACCCUAUCAUUAACCCCUUUUCAGUUAAACCGUUGCUCGAGGAUAGAUCGAUUCGGCAGAUAUGGUUGUGCGGAGGUUACAAUGGGUAUUGGUAUAGGUAUUCGUGCGAUAGGUAUACGUAGUUUCUUUUGUAUAAAAGUGAUCACAGUUUAUAUUAUUAUGUAUUGUACUAUUUUAUGUAUUUUUAAAGCCAAUUAUAUAGCACCAGAACUUGUGUUUUCUAACGGCAAAAUGCUGUUAGCAUAUUUUUUACUAACGGUUUUUAUGCGUUAGCAAAUUGGCGUUGGUAUUUACUAACAGGUCUUGUUGUAACAGUAUUAUACCGUUAGAACAUAUAAUUG
rnacentral:lncRNA from 1 species